UACGUAGGCAGCAAGCGUUGUUCGGAGUUACUGGGCGUAAAGGGUGUGUAGGCGGUUCCUUAAGUUUGCUGUGAAAUCUCCCGGCUUAACCGGGAGGGUGCGGUGAAUACUGAGGGACUAGAGUACGGGAGAGGAAAGUGGAAUUCCUGGUGUAGCGGUGAAAUGCGUAGAUAUCGUAAGGAAGACCAGUGGCGAAGGCGGGUCUCUGGACAGUUCCUGACACUGAGGCACGAAGGCCAGGGGAGCAAACGGG
rnacentral:rRNA from 1 species